ensembl:snRNA U1 U1 spliceosomal RNA
ACUCAGACCUGGCAGGGGAGAUACCAUUGUUGUAAAAGUGGUUUUCCCAGGGUAAGGCUUAUAUAUUGCACUUUGGAUGAGCUGACCCCCUUGAUUUCCCCAAAUGUGGAAAAAUCUACUGUUUAAGUGGGGGACUGCGUUUCUGGUUUUUCUAGAAUCACUCUUUCCCCUU